rnacentral:rRNA from 1 species
UACGGUAGGGGGCAAGCGUUGUCCGGAUUUAUUGGGCGUAAAGAGCGUGUAGGCGGCCAGGUAGGUGGGUUGUGAAAACUGGAGGCUCAACCUUCAGACGUCGACCCAAACCCCCCUGGCUAGAGUCCGGAAGAGGAGAGUGGAAUUCCUGGGUGUAGCGGGUGAAAUGCGCAGAUAUCAGGAAGAACACCCGUGGCGAAGGCGGGUCUCUGGGCCGAUAUUGACGCUGAGGAGCGAAAGCGUGGGGAGCAAACAGG